CCUACGGGUGGCAGCAGUGAGGAAUAUUGGUCAAUGGCCGGAAGGCUGAACCAGCCAUGCCGCGUGAAGGUCAGUGCCCUAUGGGCGUUAAACUUCUUUUGUGCGGGAGCAAUAAUGGUCACGUGUGGCCAGACGAGAGUACCGUACGAAUAAGCAUCGGCUAACUCCGUGCCAGCAGCCGCGGUAAUACGGGGGAUGCAAGCGUUAUCCGGAUUUAUUGGGCGUAAAGCGUGCGUAGGCGGUUUGUUAAGUCCAGAAUUAAAGCCCGAGGCUUAACCUCGGUUCGUUCUGGAAACUGGCAGACUAGAGUAUGGUAGAGGCAAAUGGAAUUCCUAGUGUAGCGGUGAAAUGCGUAGAUAUUAGGAGGAACACCAGUGGCGAAGGCGAUUUGCUGGGCCAUCACUGACGCUGAGGUACGAAAGCGUGGGGAGCAAAUAGGAUUAGAUACCCGGGUAGUC
rnacentral:rRNA from 1 species